AUCGCAUCGGCAACAGAUCCAACCGCCAUAGACCAGUGCAUGAUGACGUAGGUUGACAGUUCACAGAGCUUGUUUACAGGGACUUAGUCUUUGGAGCAGCUUCCGGAAAAACUGUUUGGCGAUUAAUUAAGAAUAUUGAUGUCUGCUGUGGGUGAUUUAUGGUAGGAAUCAAACCAUGUCACUAGAAUAUUCGAAUCAAAAUGAUUUUGAAUGAAAAUUACGGAUUUUUAUUUCCAGCUGAUCGAUUUUAAUUUUAACACCUUGUAAACAAGCUCUGUGAACUGUCAAAUAAUUGAGGUUAAGUCAAGAUCUUGCAUUGGUCUAUUCAAGUUUUUUUUCGAAGUCAAUGGCGAUGUGCAUUGUGUUUGUGUGAAAGAAAACCUAAAAUUAAACGGAUUAUAAUGCAUAAAUAUCAAUCUCAUACCGGGAAACAGUACGCCAUUGCGCAAGCGGCUGUGGUUGAGCAGCGAAAAAACGCUUGCGAAGGAACAUGCAGCACCAUCGAAAUCUGCGAAGAGGCACUGAUGAUAAUAACAUAAUUGCAAUAUAAUAUAAGAUGGUAAAUAAUUAUAUAAGAGGGU